GACGAACGCUGGCGGCGCGCCUAACACAUGCAAGUCGAACGAGCGAGAGAGAGCUUGCUUUCUUGAGCGAGUGGCGAACGGGUGAGUAACGCGUGAGGAACCUGCCUCAAAGAGGGGGACAACAGUUGGAAACGACUGCUAAUACCGCAUAAGCCCACGGUGCCGCAUGGCACAGAGGGAAAAGGAGCAAUCCGCUUUGAGAUGGCCUCGCGUCCGAUUAGCUAGUUGGUGAGGUAACGGCCCACCAAGGCGACGAUCGGUAGCCGGACUGAGAGGUUGAACGGCCACAUUGGGACUGAGACACGGCCCAGACUCCUACGGGAGGCAGCAGUGGGGAAUAUUGCACAAUGGGGGAAACCCUGAUGCAGCGACGCCGCGUGGAGGAAGAAGGUCUUCGGAUUGUAGACUCCUGUUGUUGGGGAAGAUAAUGACGGUACCCAACAAGGAAGUGACGGCUAACUACGUG
rnacentral:rRNA from 1 species